ensembl:lincRNA
AUGAAUUUGGGGGAACACAGAUAUUCAGUCCAUAGUGCUGCUCCUUAUCAACUUGUAGUUAAUAAGGACAAAGUAUAUCAACGUUACCAGACCACAUCUCUGGAUUAUUCAGAGUCUGCUAUUUCUGUUUGUACUACCAGACCUGAGAAUAUUUAUGCUCCCAUUCCUGCUGACUUCUGCUUUGGGUCAAUUGUAGCUCCUGGAAGAUCAUUCCAGAAAUCCUGGAAAUCCAGAUGUUAGUUACAAACAAACAUUUAAAACUGGGCCAGCGUAUUGAAAAACAGAUAAAUGUCUGUACUCCAUAUUUGACUCUCCAAGAGGCAGUUUACAGCCUCCGUUAGAAGACUUAACGCAUUUCUUUGUCUAAGACUAGACAAAGAGCUUAGUCCACAACUGAAAUACACUUAAAAACAGCAACAAAAACAAUCAUGCUGCUUAAAAUCCUUCAAUGGCUUUGAACUCUGAUUGAUGUGAAAUCCAGCAUUCUUCAUAGCCCAAGUCUUCACAUGAUCUGGCAACUUCCCGAUUCCCCAGCUUCUGGGCAAGCUGCUGUCCUCUUUGCUUGCCAUGGUCCACCUAUAACAAUCUUCUCGCUUUUCAGAAAUGUUAAGCUCUUCCCAUCUCAGGUAGUUUCACAUUAUUGCCUCUGCUUAGAAUGCCUUUCCUCUUUUUUUCAACUGUUGAAAUCUUUUUUCUAGUUUUAAAUUUCUUAUUGAUG